CCUACCACGUUGGCAGCAGCGGGAAAAAUUUCCAAUGGGGGCAAACCUGAUAAGGAACUCCCAAGCCAGCCUCGUAAGAGGCUGUCCUUUUUGUAAAAAAGCACGAGAAAUGUCG
rnacentral:rRNA from 1 species